rnacentral:lncRNA from 1 species
GAAUUUUUGAUUUUUGAGAUAAAAAGAGAAUAGCAGUUGACUAAUAAAUUAGGAUAUAUAGAAUCUGCUAGGGUUUCUAAAAUGCCAGACAAUCUAUAGUAGAUUUACGGUUCAUUUUUUUUAUAGUAAAGCUUUAAAAUCAAGACUAAAUUAUCUAAAAAUAUUAAAAAAACUGAAUAAUUGAAUUGAAAAAUAUAAAUUUUUGAAAUUUAAAGAGAAAAAUCC